rnacentral:rRNA from 1 species
AUUGAUGCUUGCAUCAUGAUUUAGAUCUAAGUGAGUGGCGGACGGGUGAGUAACGCGUGGGGAAA